rnacentral:lncRNA from 1 species
CAGUUUAUACAUUCCAAGGUCAUUCUAAUACAUGAUGUGAGAUAUCAAGUAAGCUACUGUUUAUACAUUUAAAUUAAACACAAAACAAACACGGGAGAAUUUCAAGGAUCCCCUCCAAACAACUAAUUUACUUCGUUUUCAUUAGAUUUAAGAGCUUCAGAACAUGUACCUAGAUAACAGAAAUACCAGAAGAAAAGGAGGAAGUCAGCAGCAGCAAAUAACACAGCAACAACGCAGCAGCGAUGGAACAUUUUAGCAAAACCCAACAGCACAACAAUGGAACAGUUCCAAAAAACCAGUACAACACCGAAAAUAGACCAAAAUGAGACCCAGUAACAAUAGAAUAAUAUCCCCCAAUAGCUGACCCCAAAACAGCUUAAUUUCAACCAAAUACCAAUCGAAAUGCAGUACCAGCAUCCAAAAGAUGAACUCGAAAAUAUAACUUGAUAGUUAAAGCUGAAGUUCUCUUUAGUUUUCAAUGAAAACAGUAUUAGUUGAACUAACUAACUCCUUAAACUCUCUAUCUCUGGGAAUCUUUUCAUUUCUAUGUAUUUUUGACUCUAAACUCUUA